UACGUAGGUCCCGAGCGUUGUCCGGAUUUAUUGGGCGUAAAGCGAGCGCAGGCGGUUUGAUAAGUCUGAAGUUAAAGGCUGUGGCUCAACCAUAGUUCGCUUUGGAAACUGUCAAACUUGAGUGCAGAAGGGGAGAGUGGAAUUCCAUGUGUAGCGGUGAAAUGCGUAGAUAUAUGGAGGAACACCGGUGGCGAAAGCGGCUCUCUGGUCUGUAACUGACGCUGAGGCUCGAAAGCGUGGGGAGCGAACAG
rnacentral:rRNA from 1 species